rnacentral:rRNA from 1 species
GACGAACGCUGGCGGCGUGCUUAACACAUGCAAGUCGAGCGGUAAGGCCCUUUCGGGGGUACACGAGCGGCGAACGGGUGAGUAACACGUGGGUGACCUGCCCUCAGCUCUGGGAUAAGCCUGGGAAACCGGGUCUAAUACUGGAUAUGACUCCAUGACGCAUGUUGUGGGGUGGAAAGCCUUGUGCGGCUGAGGAUGGGCCCGCGGCCUAUCAGCUUGUUGGUGGGGGAUGGCCUACCAAGGCGACGACGGGUAGCCGGCCUGAGAGGGCGACCGGCCACACUGGGACUGAGACACGGCCCAGACUCCUACGGGAGGCAGCAGUGGGGAAUCUUGCGCAAUGGGCGAAAAGCCUGACGCAGCGACGCCGCGUGAGGGAUGACGGCCUGGUGUAAC